rnacentral:rRNA from 1 species
CCUACGGGGGGCAGCAGUGAGGAAUAUUGGUCAAUGGACGAGAGUCUGAACCAGCCAAGUAGCGUGAAGGAUGACUGCCCUAUGGGUUGUAAACUUCUUUUAUAUGGGAAUAAAACGAUCCACGUGUGGGAUUUUGUAUGUACCAUAUGAAUAAGGAUCGGCUAACUCCGUGCCAGCAGCCGCGGUAAUACGGAGGAUCCGAGCGUUAUCCGGAUUUAUUGGGUUUAAAGGGAGCGUAGGUGGAUUGUUAAGUCAGUUGUGAAAGUUUGGGGCUCAACCGUAACAUUGCAGUUGAAACUGGCAGUCUUGAGUACAGUAGAGGUAGGCGGAAUGCGUGGUGUAGCGGUGAAAUGCUUAGAUAUCACGAAGAACUCCGAUUGCGAAGGCAGCUCACUGGACUGCAACUGACACUGAAGCUCGAAAGUGUGGGUAUCGAACAGGAUUAGAUACCCGAGUAGUC